rnacentral:rRNA from 1 species
ACUGGUUGAUCCUGCCAGUAAUCAUAUGCUUGUCUUAAAGAUUAAGCCAUGCAUGUAUAAGUUCAGACCCAAGAAUGGUGAAACCGCGAAUGGCUCAUUAAAUCAGUUAUAAUUUCAUGGGAUGUGUUUUGUUAAUUGGAUAACUGUGGUAAUUCUAGAGCUAAUACAUGCAAAUACGUUCAACUUCGGUUGGAUGUGCUUUUAUUAGUGCAAACCAUGCCCUCUCGAGGGCUGCAGGUGGCGACUCUGAAUAACUUUGCCGAGCAUUACGGCCUCAGGCCGGUGCUAUUCCUUCAAAGUAUCUGCUCUAUCAACUGUCGAUGGUAUAUUAUAUGUUUACCAUGGUUGUAACGGGUAACGGGGAAUUAGGGUUCGAUUCCGGAGAGGGAGCCUGAGAAACGGCUACCACAUCUAAGGAAGGCAGCAGGCGCGCAAAUUACCCAAUCCCGGCACGGGGAGGUAGUGACAAAAAAUAACAAUGCGGGACUCAAAUGAGGCUUCGUAAUUGGAAUGAGUACAUUCUAAAUCCUUUAACGAGGAACUAUUGGAGGGCAAGUCUGGUGCCAGCAGCCGCGGUAAUUCCAGCUCCAAUAGCGUAUAUUAAACUUGUUGCGUCUAAAAAGCUCGUAGUUUGAAAAGUUCCCCUGGUUAACAACUACCAUCCGAUGGAUCAUCCAAUUGGUGGUAUAUCCCGAUUCCGAGGGGUAAAUAACUUGGAGGAAAUAUGAAUGACUGUUUUCGCCGACUUCACUGUCCGGCUUACAAGAGUCAUCAAAACUCACUUUGAUGAAAUUAGAGUGCUUAAGGCAAGUGUGUUACUUGGAUAUAAUUGCAUGGAAUGAUGGAAUAUGUUGCUGUUCUAUUUGUUGGUUUUUGAACGGUACAAUGGUUGAUAGGAACUGUUGGGGGCAUUCGUAUUGUUGCGAGAGAGGUGAAAUUCUUAGACCACAGCAAGACGAACUACUGCGAAAGCAUUUGCCAAGAAUGUUUUCAUUGAUCAAGAACGAAAGUUAGAGGUUCGAAGGCGAUUAGAUACCGCCCUAGUUCUAACCAUAAACUAUGCCAACUAGCCAUUUGCUCAUGUCUGUAUUCAGCAUACAUGUCUUUACAUGUAUGUGUAUUCUUUAUACUACGAUUGAGUAUGAGUAUAACUGAGUGAGAGGCCACGGGAAACCAAAGUAGGGUUAUGGGGGAAGUAUGGUUGCAAAGCUGAAACUUAAAGGAAUUGACGGAAGGGCACCACCAGGAGUGGAGCUUGCGGCUUAAUUUGACUCAACACGGGAAAACUUACCAGGUCCUGACACUAGAAGGAUUGACAGAUUGAUAGCUCUUUCUUAAUUUGGUGGAUGGUGGUGCAUGGCCGUUCUUAGUUGGUGGAGUGAUCUAUCUGGUUAAUUCCGAUAACGAACGAGACUCUAGCCUAUUAAUUAACGUAUGGAAUCUCGUCUUCUGUGGUGUUACCAAAUGGGAUUAAGCGUGUGUAACGCUUUGAAACAGAGCAAUAACAGGUCUGUGAUGCCCUUAGAUGUUCGGGGCUGCACGCGCGCUACAUUGAGAAAUAAAAUGAGUUCUCUAGCCUUUGAAAAAGUUAGUAAUCUUUGAAUGUUUUUCUUAAUGGGGACAGGGGAUUGCAAUUGUGCCCCUUGAACGAGGAAUUCCCAGUAAGUGCUAGUCAUCAGCUAGUACUGAUUACGUCCCUGCCCUUUGUACACACCGCCCGUCGCUACCACCGAUUGAAUGGUUUAGUGAGAUCAUCUGAGUAAAUGUACACGUACUUUGUAUGUGUAAUGUUUGCAAUGAAAAUCAAACUUGAUCAUUUAGAGGAAGUAAAAGUCGUAACAAGGUUUCCGUAGGUGAACCUGCGGAAG